UCAGGAACAGGCUAAUGUGGAUUACUCAGGAACAGGCUAAUGUGGAUUACUCAGGAACAGGUUAAUGUUAGUGGAUUACUCAGGAACAGGUUAAUGUUAGUGGAUUACUCAGGAACAGGUUAAUGUUAGUGGAUUACUCAGGAACAGGUUAAUGUUAAUGUGGAUUACUCAGGAACAGGUUAAAGUGGAUUACUCAGGAACAGGUUAAAGUGGAUUACUCAGGAACAGGUUAAUGUGGAUUACUCAGGGACAGGUUAAUGUUAAAGUGGAUUACUCAGGAACAGGUUAAUGUUAAAGUGGAUUACUCAGGAACAGGUUAAUGUGGAUUACUCAGGAACAGGUUAAUGUUAAAGUGGAUUACUCAGGAACAGGUUAAAGUGGAUUACUCAGGAACAGGUUAAUGUUAAAGUGGAUUACUCAGGAACAGGUUAAUGUUAAUGUGGAUUACUCAGGAACAGGUUAAUGUGGAUUACUCAGGAACAGGUUAAUGUGGAUUACUCAGGAACAGGUUAAUGUGGAUUACU